rnacentral:piRNA from 1 species
UGUAACCUAGAGAAGGACAUAGUCAGUGCA